CCUACGGGGGGCAGCAGUGGGGAAUAUUGCGCAAUGGGCGAAAGCCUGACGCAGCGACGCCGCGUGAGGGAUGAAGGUCUUCGGAUCGUAAACCUCUGUCAGCAGGGAAGAACGGUCACUGUGCUAAUCAGCAGUGAAUUGACGGUACCUGCAAAGGAAGCACCGGCUAACUCCGUGCCAGCAGCCGCGGUAAUACGGAGGGUGCGAGCGUUAAUCGGAAUUACUGGGCGUAAAGCGCUCGUAGGCGGUAUGGCAAGUCAAGGGUGAAAGCCCCGCGCUCAACGUGGGAACCGCCUUUGAAACUGGCAAACUGGAGUGUGUGAGAGGAUAGUGGAAUUCCAGGUGUAGGGGUGAAAUCCGUAGAUAUCUGGAGGAACAUCAGUGGCGAAGGCGACUAUCUGGCACAUAACUGACGCUGAGGAGCGAAAGCGUGGGUAGCAAACAGGAUUAGAUACCCCUGUAGUC
rnacentral:rRNA from 1 species